rnacentral:rRNA from 1 species
CCUACGGGUGGCUGCAGUGGGGAAUUUUGGACAAUGGGCGCAAGCCUGAUCCAGCCAUGCCGCGUGUGGGAAGAAGGCCUUCGGGUUGUAAACCACUUUUGUCAGGGAAGAAACGGCCUUUUCUAAUACAAAGGGCUAAUGACGGUACCUGAAGAAUAAGCACCGGCUAACUACGUGCCAGCAGCCGCGGUAAUACGUAGGGUGCAAGCGUUAAUCGAAAUUACUGGAGGUAACUCGUGCGCAGGCGGCUGAAAUCCCCGGGCUCAACCUGGGAACUGCAUUUGUGACUGCAUGGCUAGAGUGCGGCAGAGGGGGAUGGAAUUCCGCGUGUAGCAGUGAAAUGCGUAGAUAUGCGGAGGAACACCGAUGGCGAAGGCAAUCCCCUGGGCCUGCACUGACGCUCAUGCACGAAAGCGUGGGGAGCAAACAGGAUUAGAUACCCCGGUAGUC